UUCUAUGGUGGUUCAGGCAGGGGAGGCUUUAGCCUCGCUGGAAGAACACUCCCGGUACUGCGAACCCUGUUUGAACUGCCACCACU
rnacentral:antisense_RNA from 2 species